rnacentral:rRNA from 1 species
UACGGAGGAUGCAAGCGUUAUCCGGAAUUAUUGGGCGUAAAGCGUCCGCAGGUGGUAACUCAAGUCGAUUGUCAAAGACCGAAGCUUAACUUCGGGUAGGCAGUGGAAACUGAGUAACUAGAGUACGGUAGGGGUAGAGGGAAUUUCCAGUGUAGCGGUGAAAUGCGUAGAGAUUGGAAAGAACACCAGUGGCGAAGGCGCUCUACUGGGCCUGUACUGACACUGAGGGACGAAAGCUAGGGGAGCGAAAGGG